UAACAAAGUAAGCAUAAUUAUAAUUUAUAAUUACAAUCUAACUAAAUGCAAAACUGCUAAAACUCUUACUAGUAAUUACAUACAUCGGUUUAUGAAUUUAGAUGUAAAAACUAAUCAAAUUAUUUUACGUUUCUAAGAUUAUACCAAGUCCAAAUUUUUUGUCUAUUUCAUUUAUUUGUAACUGUUUUUCUCCGAUUUAUUGUUUAGGCAUCACAUAGUGCAUCUUUCAAAUUCUGCCUUUAAAAAUGUUGUUUAAUUGAUUAAUUAAAUCAGGUUUAUCCCAAUCUUUUCUGCUUUUAAUUUCAACAUCCAGCCUACUUCUU